UACGUAGGGUCCAAGCGUUAUCCGGAUUUAUUGGGCGUAAAGCACAUGUAGGUGGUUUUAUAAGUCUCGUCUUAAAGCUCUGGGCUCAACCCAGAAUCUGGAUGAGAUACUAUAAGGCUUGUGGUCAGCAGGGGCAAACGGAAUUCCCGGUGUAGGAGUGAAAUCCGUUGAUAUCGGGAGGAACACCAAUGGCGAAGGCAGUUUGCUAGGCUGAUUCAGACACUGAGAUGUGAAAGCGUGGGGAGCGAACGGG
rnacentral:rRNA from 1 species